rnacentral:rRNA from 1 species
GGGUGGUAAUGCCGGAUGCUCCAUCACACCGCAUGGUGUGUUGGGAAAGCCUUUGCGGCAUGGGAUGGGGUCGCGUCCUAUCAGCUUGAUGGCGGGGUAACGGCCCACCAUGGCUUCGACGGGUAGCCGGCCUGAGAGGGCGACCGGCCACAUUGGGACUGAGAUACGGCCCAGACUCCUACGGGAGGCAGCAGUGGGGAAUAUUGCACAAUGGGCGCAAGCCUGAUGCAGCGACGCCGCGUGAGGGAUGGAGGCCUUCGGGUUGUAAACCUCUUUUGUUAGGGAGCAAGGCAUUUUGUGUUGAGUGUACCUUUCGAAUAAGCACCGGCUAACUACGUGCCAGCAGCCGCGGUAAUACGUAGGGUGCAAGCGUUAUCCGGAAUUAUUGGGCGUAAAGGGCUCGUAGGCGGUUCGUCGCGUCCGGUGUGAAAGUCCAUCGCUUAACGGUGGAUCCGCGCCGGGUACGGGCGGGCUUGAGUGCGGUAGGGGAGACUGGAAUUCCCGGUGUAACGGUGGAAUGUGUAGAUAUCGGAAAGAACACCA